AUGCUUUCUUCCCAGAAGAGGAAAGUUUUUUAUACUGUCGGUUUGGCUGCUGUUUUCUGGGCUAUAUGGAACUACCGUAAUAGGACGACGUUCGAGUUUAAGUUUCCUAAAUCUCCAUUUGAAAUUGUCUUUGCUUCCUGUGCUUCUUUAUUAUACUGGGCAGGGAUGCAGAAACAUGGCGACGGGGACGAUCUGAGGAGAGGAGCCAUGAUGCUGAAGGACAACGCCAACAAGAUGAUGAGGAUCUGUGAAGCAGCACAACAACAUUCAGGCUAG
rnacentral:rRNA from 1 species